rnacentral:lncRNA from 1 species
UUUUUUUGAAAAAUCAGUAACGACUCUUUGCAAAAAGUAGUCGUUUGGAACUUUGUAAAAUAGUCAUUUGGCCCCAAACUUUAAUUUAACCCAAAACUUUAUAUAAUUACACUUUUUCUCAUUUCUCAACUAUAAAUACUCCAUCAUUCUUUUAUUUUUAUUCACCAAUUCAUCAAUAUCUCUCAAUCUCUCUCAAGCUCUCUUUCAAUCUUUCUAGUGCAAGUGCUUAAUUUAUUGUUGCAAAUUCGUGAAACAUUGUGAAG